CGCUGCAGGAGGCCGGGCCUCAGGACCCAUGAGACUUCCACAGGCUUUGUGUCGGUCAACAUUAAAACCUUUUACUGUCUGGGUCCGCAUGAAGAGAGGCUCCGCUGUUUUUCCCUGGAAAGAGCAGCAGAGAGGCUGGAAGGGGACAGGAGUAAAGUGGACACGGGACUGCAGUGGGCAGGUCUCUUUACAAGCCGGUGGACACCCUCAGCGGCUAUGCAUGCGACCUGCGGCCGGCUCACCAGAGCCUUCUACCCUCCCUGGAGCAUUACCCUGAGCCGGGAUUGCGCUCAGGGCUGCUCGGCUCCGUGCCCUGCCCCCGGCAGCCUGCGGCCAAUGGCUGGCCGACAUGUAAGGCCCCGCCCCCUGGCCUCCAGCAACCUCUUCCUACUGGUCUUCCAGCAUCCAUGUUGCAUAUUGCAACCAAGACUCUCUUACUGAACAUCAUUUAGCUAAGACACUAAAAAGCCUUCAUUUC